CUUAUUUUAUGUCUAGAGUUACAUUUGUGAAUAUGCAUCUAUGUUUCAUACUUUUUUCUUUAAAAUUACACGUUGAAUUUUCUCCAACCCAACCUUAGUGAUCUAUAUAUAGCUUGCUCAUACAAGACAUGAAGCUGCGGGUCGUCGUACUGUAGUAUGAGAGAAACUCCACGACCCUGAAAUACUACAGACAAUGUUUUACGUGUUCUUCUUUUUUUCUUUGUUGUCAUCCAGUGAUUUUAUCCAUUUUUCAGUGCAUUACCUUCUGCGUGAUCCCAAAUCCUACUUAAUAAGGAGCCUUAACAGCUAAAAGAAAUUUCCUAAAAUUAACGAUGACAUCACUGUAUCUCAGAAUAGUAAAGCUUCAAUGCCGAAAAAAGAAAAUGUUAAUAACGAUUUUAACAAAUAUCUAUCGAACAAACUAUAGCGCGCAGACAUUGGAUACAAUUUUCUGAUUACUUCAUUGCCGUAAUGUGGUGAAAAAAAUAAAAACAAUUUAUUUAUUUUUGUUGCUAUAAAUAUUUUUAAUUUUUUACUUUUUGAAAGCAAAAUCACAGCUACAUAAGGUGUGGCUUAAUAAUAUAGUAAUAAUAUAAUAAUUAUCAUAAAAGAUAUGAAUUAACGAUAAUCGAUAAAAUUAUAUAAUGGUUUUUUCUCACAUUCAUUCUAUAUAUUCUAUAGCUUCAAAUAGUACCUACGCUUUAUUCAUACUAUUCUGUUUAUUUUAUCAUGUUACUCAAUUAUAUCCCUCCCCUUUCUGUUAUGUAUAUGAUUCCUUCGCUUUCGCUACUCUUAUAUAGACUCGUUUUUUUAACUACACGUAUAUAACUUUAUACGUCUGAGAAAUAUUCAAUCGUGUCGAUCAUAAGAUAAUACGCUAGAUCAAUAGGCAAAAUCUUUGUAGUCAGAUAUCUUAGCAUUUUUAUACUUGCGCUAUAUUAUAUAUAUAUUUUCGUGCGUACACUUUUGGCGCUUCGUUAUAUUUUGGAAUUAUCAAUUUUUCUCCGUUUUCUUUUUAUUUUAUUUGUUUCUUUCCCUUAAGCAUCAUCGCUAGUUUCUGCGCUUCUUUUUACACGAAACUUAAUUCUUUUACUUUGCACGUCGCUUAACUUACAAGCUAACAAUAUUGUACAAUAUUUUGUUAACUUUUGGGACUAACCACUCACUCAUUUUGUCGUGUAACACGCUUACGUUUUUCAAAGGAAAAUCUUGUCGAUUCCCUGGUAAAUUGGACAGUCCAUUGUGUCUUUUGUUCAGAUAAAGAUUUAGUUGCAUGUUGCCAAAAGUUAAAUAAAAAAAGUAUUAAAAUCGUAAUUUUUAUGCUAGUAUGUAUUUUAUUCAUAAAAACAUUUUUCAUAUAUACCCUUAAAUUAAAAGAUAUACAUAUAAUUACAGACGAGAGUACGAAUUUAUUCGCAAUUCAGCAUACAGAUAAUAGCAUCAGUCUACGUUAAGAAUAUCAAACUUUGCGACCUUAUAUUUUAUAACAUUGUCGCAAAGCGCAGAAGUUAAAAACCUCCAGAUUCUUAAGUUACGACAUUUCACAUUAAAUGUAUAGGUUGAUAUUCUUAAAGUAAAGUAGCUCGAAAAUCAAAUAUAAAAACAAAAGUUUACUAUAGUAAACAAUUAAAAUAAAACAAAAAAUGUAUAAAUUUCUUCACUACAUGAGAUUGCUCGGAUUCGUGUGUAAAACAAGUGUCUCGUUCAUUAUGUAAGAAUUAAUUAUAAACAGUUUUAUUGUUGGAGUUCUUUCAGAAUUUUGCAGCAUGUAUAUGGCACUCAUAUGGCUGGCUAGCUGAUGGGGCUUAGCCACGCAGGAAUACGCUUCUUUCCUAUUCAUAGGUAUAAUAGUAACGAGGUGUGUACGUGUAUUUAUUUGUCUGCGGCGAAAUUGAACUCGAGUAAUAUAUCAAGUUUCUGACAUCGGAGACUCGCACGCGCAUUUUCUUUGCUUUUUCUUCCUCUUUGCGCGAUGCAUUUCUGUAGCUGGUUUUAUUUUAUCUUGUCUGUACGCAUUCUUAAUCUUUUUUGUUAUUCUUAAUACACCCGUCGCAACUCGUUUGAUACUUCUGCGAAUAGAAGAAUAAACUCACUUGUUAUAGGGAAAUUUUAAAUAAUUAUAUCGACUAUUAGGAUCAAUGCUCGAAUCGGAUAAUUUUCUCGCAUCUUUUUUUAUACAUUUCCAAAUAAUGAUAAAUUUAGUAUGUUUAAAUAGUUUUUUCUAGUAUUGUUGUAACUGCACCAAAAAAUUAUAAAAUAUUUUCUACGAUCUCCAGAAAAAGUUAGAAAAUUUUGACACUAUAUUUUUUAAUGCGAGAAUUCGCUGUGUCAUGAUAACUUGCUUCUUUAGCAUUCAGAGUCGUUGUGCAAACGAUUCUGACUCUUUCUUUUAUAUUCAUCGCGAAAACGUCACAUUGGGCAUCGACUUUUGCCAAAAGAAAAAGAAAAACAUCGACGGAUUCCGCGUAAGGAUUACUCUGCUUUUUAUUAUAGGUGAAAGGACAAAAAAAAUGCUUACUGAAAUAUACGUAUUACGGUAUGCUCGUGCCUGCGAAUGUGACACUUUCGCAACGGCAUUGCUCAUGCGAGAAUUCUUAUUCACUUGACAUUCCACUCUGUGUUUUUGCAACAGCCAAUAGAUUUCUUUCUAUUAUUUAAGGCACUAGAUGUAAAGUAUUGUUUGCUUUUAUCUCAGAAUUUGACUAUUAAAAUCAGUGUAUAUGCGUUCCGUAAUCCGUGUGGUGAAACGACCUGUGUUGAUGUUGAAUUAAAAUUAAAAAUGAAAAAGCAGCACAUGUUUUCCAAUGCAAAAUAUGCUGCCAUCGGUUCGCGGUAGUAGCAAGUUAAGAAAAUUCAUUAGUUUCUGUUUUCAAGUGUAGAAAAGUAAUAUACAAGUCAUAAUAUUUUGCGAGUGAUAUUGUUAUUGUAUCCAUAGUAUAGUCAAUAAUAAAUAUAAUGAUUUCCCGUUUUUCUGCUAAGGCACAAAAUUCUACAAAUAAAAUUCCGAAAAGAUGGAGCCCCUUAUGGCACCCUAACACCUAAUCCUUUAGAAAAAAAAUUAUUUAAUUUGAAUUCCGAACGUUCACUCUCCUACGCAUAAAACUCUUUGUUUAUUUUUAUUCGUAUACAAACGCACGUUGUUUAGCAGGGAUGCCGCUGGAUUAUAACGUUAAUUUUAAAAUCACGAAGCUUAAUCCUGCCAACAGUUUGUUUUCUUCAAAGAAAUAAUAGUGCAAACGUAGAAUAUAACGUGUGUAUUCUAGUCGAUCCAAUUAUACAUAUUCAUUUACAUAAAACAGUAUACAUACAAGUAUGUAUUAAACAAUUUCAAUAACUUCCCAUCCGAUGCAGCAUCUUUCUAGUUUAUAGUAUACGCCGAAUAUACUUUUAUUUUCGUUAAUAUAUACUUAUGUCUCCUAUACCAAAUCUUUUGCUCACAAACGACUCGCUCUCGAGCGAUCCUUUUCUCCUAUCACCGUUUUUACUUACAUAGCGCGGCGUUUAUUCGCUCCGGAUUCUUUUUUACGCCGUUUUAAAUUAUUCUCGUUCAAUAUAUCCGAUCUGUCAUUGCCUAUAUCAGGUUAUCUCUGAGUUAUUUUCUUUUUUUUCAAUCGCCUCGGCUGGCAGUCUUUUUUAUAAAUUAAUCUUCACAAUACUGUUUGUAAUACGAUAUUCGACGCACCGAUCAAGCGUAUUUUCGAUGCGCCCGAAGAGUGUAUCUUUAAUAUCUUUUUUAUUUCCUUAAUUUUUUGUUUAGUUUUAAUACAAUUAUACAUCGGUUAAACCCUAUGGUCGAUUCACUGUAAUGUCGGGUAUUGCAUUACUUACAUACAUAAUUACAUAGGCGAGGCGCGAGGCAAAAUCGUUGCUGCCCUCCUCGCUGGUGUUUUUUAUUUUUUCCUUCUUUUCUACAUUAUAACGAAGUAGUGCAGUAAUCAGUCGCCGUGAACGUUGCUAAAAGCCAACCUCUGUCACGUCGUCGCUUUACAUUGUUUCUCGCGCGAUAUACUUAAAUAGCCCUCUAUCACUAUCGUACGUGGUGACUCACACAUACACACACGCGCGCGCGCGCACACACACACACACACCAUGCAUUUGUUACGUGCGCGAAAUAAUUCAAAUGACUCGGUGCAGUUCGGGUCGUAGUACAUCAUCGGUUAUCGAUGGAGAGAAGAAAAACAGCCCGCGAAAAUUAACGAAUGUUCGCCCAGUCCCCGGUUCUUUGAUCGUCGUUUCAUUAUACAUUGCGACAAUUAGCUACUUACAUGACUACUAAAAACUCUACGCCUAAAGACUCUUGGAC
rnacentral:lncRNA from 1 species